rnacentral:rRNA from 1 species
CAUCCGCCAGAGAACUACAAGUGAAAAACUUAAAACUCAAAGGACUUGACGGUGUCCCAUACCGACCUAGAGGAGCCUGUCCUAUAAUCGAUACCCCCCGUUCCACCCAACCUCAACUAGCAAAAACAGCCUAUAUACCGCCGUCGACCAGCCUACCCCAUGAGGGUUUAACAGUAGACACAAUAGCCCCCCCCGCUAAUACGUCAGGUCAAGGUGUAGCAAAUGUUGAGGAAGAGAUUGGCUACAUUUUUUAUGAUAAAAAACACGAAAAGCACUAUGAAAUCGUGCAUGAAGGUGAAUUUAGUAGUAAAAUAAACAAGAGAGUUUAUUUUAACAACGCUCUGGGACGCGUACACACCGCCC